rnacentral:rRNA from 1 species
AUUGAACGCUGGCGGCAGGCUUAACACAUGCAAGUCGAGCGGAGCGAGGGUGCUUGCACCUUAGCUUAGCGGCGGACGGGUGAGUAAUGCUUAGGAAUCUGCCUAUUAGUGGGGGACAACAUUCCGAAAGGAAUGCUAAUACCGCAUACGCCCUACGGGGGAAAGCAGGGGAUCUUCGGACCUUGCGCUAAUAGAUGAGCCUAAGUCGGAUUAGCUAGUUGGUGGGGUAAAGGCCUACCAAGGCGACGAUCUGUAGCGGGUCUGAGAGGAUGGUCCGCCACACUGGGACUGAGACACGGCCCAGACUCCUACGGGAGGCAGCAGUGGGGAAUAUUGGACAAUGGGCGGAAGCCUGAUCCAGCCAUGCCGCGUGUGUGAAGAAGGCCUUUUGGUUGUAAAGCACUUUAAGCGAGGAGGAGGCUCUUAAGGUUAAUACCCUUGAUGAGUGGACGUUACUCGCAGAAUAAGCACCGGCUAACUCUGUGCCAGCCGCCGCCGUAAUAC